rnacentral:lncRNA from 1 species
GGUGUGCCCAGGUGUGCCCCAGGUGUGUGCCAAGUGUGUGCCAGGUGUGUGCCAGGUGUGUGUCAGGUAUGACAGGUAUGCUCCAGGUGUAUCCCAGGUGUAUCCCAGGUGUAUCCCAGGUGUAUCCCAGGUGUAUCCCAGGUGUAUCCCAGGUGUAACCCAGGUGUAUCCCAGGUGUAUCCCGGGUGUGUCUCAGGUGUAUCCCAGGUGUAACCCAGGUGUAUC